GGUACAACAAUGGAAGUUGUAUAUAUUUAAGUAGUUGAUUUUAAAUGUUUUAAACUUGGUAGCUAGCAAUCGAGAGUUCGAAUCUCUCACUCACCGCCA
rnacentral:tRNA from 1 species